UCCUGCUGGCUGCACUGGUGCAGGACUAUGUGCAGAUGAAGGCCAGUGAGCUGGAGCAGGAGCAAGAGAGAGAGGGCUCCAGCCUGGACAGCCCCAGAUCUAAGCGGUGCGGUAAUCUGAGUACUUGCAUGCUGGGCACAUACACGCAGGACUUCAACAAGUUUCACACGUUCCCCCAAACUGCAAUUGGGGUUGGAGCACCUGGAAAGAAAAGGGAUAUGUCCAGCGACUUGGAGAGAGACCAUCGCCCUCAUGUUAGCAUGCCCCAGAAUGCCAACUAAACUCCUCCCUUUCCUUCCUAAUUUCCCUUCUUGCAUCCUUCCUAUAACUUGAUGCAUGUGGUUUGGUUCCUCUCUGGUGGCUCUUUGGGCUGGUAUUGGUGGCUUUCCUUGUGGCAGAGGAUGUCUCAAACUUCAGAUGGGAGGAAAGAGAGCAGGACUCACAGGUUGGAAGAGAAUCACCUGGGAAAAUACCAGAAAAUGAGGGCCGCUUUGAGUCCCCCAGAGAUGUCAUCAGAGCUCCUCUGUCCUGCUUCUGAAUGUGCUGAUCAUUUGAGGAAUAAAAUUAUUUUUCCCCAAAGAUCUGAGCUGUGGUGGUCAUUGCUCUGAUCUAUGUCCCAGGCUUCAUAGUGUCUAAGACCUAUGCUUAGAAAUAGCCUUAACCCUAGGCUAGCUGGACAGAGGAUAUGGUGGGUGGUCCCUUUGACCAAGCUCAAGCAGGAAGAACAGGGGUCCUAAGGAGCAGGUAAGCACCUCUAGGACUUGAUGCUGCAAACUCCGCUCCUCUUCCAGGUAAGACUGAGGAAUUUUUUAUUUUCCUAAGAAAGGGUAUUUGGUGCCCGUGACUGGGGUGUAGAUUUUAUAGUCCUUUGUGAAUGGGGCUGGGUGUGGGACCAUAAUUCACUCCAGUGUCAUAAACCUCCGCUUUGAUUUUUAGUUAAUUUAUACAGGAAAGAUUGGCUGUUACUGCUCCACAUUCCAUAGCCAGUCAUCCAGAGUCACCUUGGGUUUUCUGACACCCCUGGGAAUAUCUAUGGGGAGUGAUCAUGGCAUUUUCCCUAAUGGCCUUGUGAUUUUCUGCUCUGAUAAUUGUGUUUAGGAGAAACACUUAAAGUUAAUUGGUGCCUUUCAGCACAGCAACUUUACCAUGAAGGUCCCAUGGGGCUGACCUCUCUCCCAGCCUCUCACUCACAGAUCUUCUCUUCUUUCUCCAUCCUGCAAAUCAGAAUCAUUGCCCAGAAGAGAGCCUGUGACACUGCCACCUGUGUGACUCAUCGGCUGGCAGGCUUGCUGAGCAGAUCAGGGGGUGUGGUGAAGAACAACUUUGUGCCCACCAAUGUGGGUUCCAAAGCCUUUGGCAGGCGCCGCAGGGACCUUCAAGCCUGAGCAGCUGAAUGACUCAAGAAGGUCACAAUAAAGCUGAACUCCUUUUAAUGUGUAAUGAAAGCAAUUUGUAGGAAAGGCUCCAUGGAAGACAUACAUAUAGGCAUCCUUCUUGAUACUGAAAACUAUCUUCUUUGUUUGAAAGGAACUAUUGCUAAAUGCAGAACAAGCUCAUUGCAGUUACCUAUUGUGCAUCUUUUUAAAUACUUGAUUAUGUAACCAUAAAUCUGACAGCAUGUCUCAUUGGCUUAUCUGGUAGCAAAUCUAGGCCCCGUCAGCCACCCUAUUGACAUUGGUGGCUCUGCUAAACCUCAGGGGGACAUGAAAUCACUGCCUCUUGGGCAUCUGGGGACACAUGGUAAUGCUGUGCCUUGACAGAAGUAUUUGUUUAAAGAAAUGUCAAUGCUGUCAUUUGUGAACUCUAUCAAAAUUAAAAAUGUAUUUUCUAUACCCUU
rnacentral:lncRNA from 10 species